AGGACGAACGCUGGCGGCGUGCCUAACACAUGCAAGUCGAGCGAGGAGAUUCCUUCGGGAUGAUCCUAGCGGCGGACGGGUGAGUAACACGUGGGCAACCUGCCUCAUAGAGAGGAAUAGCCUUCCGAAAGGGAGAUUAAUACCUCAUAACAUUGCAGUUUCGCAUGGAACAGCAAUUAAAGGAGCAAUCCGCUAUGAGAUGGGCCCGCGGCGCAUUAGCUAGUUGGUGAGGUAACGGCUCACCAAGGCGACGAUGCGUAGCCGACCUGAGAGGGUGAUCGGCCACAUUGGGACUGAGACACGGCCCAGACUCCUACGGGAGGCAGCAGUGGGGAAUAUUGCACAAUGGGGGAAACCCUGAUGCCAGCAACGCCGCGUGAGUGAUGACGGCCUUCGGGUUGUAAAGCUCUGUCUUCAGGGACGAUAAUGACGGUACCUGAGGAGGAAGCCACGGCUAACUACGUGCCAGCCGCGGC
rnacentral:rRNA from 1 species